rnacentral:misc_RNA from 1 species
UCCGAUCCCGCUAGUCGCCUUUUAAGAGAAGCAUGGGUUACUGAAGAUCAAUUCCAACCCGGAUCUUUACGGGUCGAACUAUUAGUGAACACUAAUCUGAGCAUUGCCAUCGAUAAUAAUGAUUCCGUACACUCUCUUCAAGCCGGAGUUCAAAUAGUGGCCUGUUUCCAGUAUGUCACAUCAUAUCCGAACUCUGGACUUUAAACUUUAAACGGCUGCUUUUCCUCCCACGUUAAACUGAUGCAUCUGUUCACGGAAGCGUUACCCAACUCACACACUGAAACUAUAGCAUUCCAGCAUCAAGCUGCAUGCAAACGCACGAUGAUGACCUUUCAUGUUGCAAUUUAAUCGUGUCAGUGAAUAUCAAGCUAGUAAUUAUUGGCCUUUACAAUAUAUGUGCAGUUUCAACCCGCCCAAGUAUCCCGCCGACCUUAAUGAUUUACAAUUACCUCUUGUACCCGAACGUCAUUUUCUUGUCUGAACACAUUCCACAGCAGAAGAGAUCAACGGGUAAGGACUGCGUGGAGGAUCUGUUUCUACUCCUUAAACAUGGAUGAUGAAUAUUUCAACUCGAGUGACUACACAUACGACUAUGAUUACAGCAGUGAAGCGGCAAUACCAUACGCGACGCCAAUUGUAGUCAACAGCGUUCUACUAUACAUUGGAGUCUGUGCCAACAUAUGGAUGAUCAGGUCUCUCUACAAAUCAUGGAAGACAGGCAGCAGGAUGCAUUUCUACCUCCUUGCCAUUUGUGUUGCUGAUUUGCUGGGCUUGUGUGUUCGAUGCGGAGUCACCAUUGGCGUUCAGGCAACCGUUGUAUGGAGAGGCGGAUAUUAUGGAUGUAAACUUUUGCAGGUUUUCAGAUGUUUGGAGGUACUAUGUCCCAUCUCAUCCUGGCUGGAUUCAAUAUCGAUAAUCUUUUCACCAUCACCUGUAGUCGCUCCAUCAAGGCGUUGCGUAUCGUCUUCCUGCUGUUGUCCGUUGCAACUGCCUUUAUUGCCAGUGCCGUUAAGUUCUACUUCUACCAUCUGUUAAACGCGACGUACAGAAGUCAGGAAAUGUACGUUUGCCUUAUGGAUGUAGAAACUCGUUUUGCUCCGGGUCCAUUGGUGCACAUGGCGGUGUAUUUCCUACUUCCACUUCUCAUGAUGAUACUGAUUGGUCUCCCAUCAUUAUUUGUAUGGUGCUGCAAAAAGGGAACACUCAGCUAUGAGAAGAUGACACGUGACGAUGACUCCUCAACAGACCUUCAGUUCAUUGGCAGAGAUAUUGGAAUAGUGUUGGCUUACGAUGUAGUAUUCUUCCUCUGCUGUGCUCCGGUGACUGGAAAUGAUUGGCUCUUCAGAUAUUAUUCAAUUACGGCACACUUUGUUAUGAUCUUCCUGGAGAUAGCAAACCCAUGUCUCAACCCAUUCAUAUAUGUUCUACUUCUACCAUCUGGUUAACAUGUCGUACAAAGGUGAUGACAUAUACUACUGCCUUAUAGAUUCAGGAGCUGGUUAUCUUGCAGUUCCAGUGGUUCACGUGGCGGUAUAUUUCUUACUUCCACUUCUCAUGAUGAUACUGUUUGGUCUCCCAUCAUUAUUUGUAUGGUGCUGUAAAAAAGGAACACUCAGCUAUGAGAAGAUGACACGUGACGAUGACUCCUCCACAGACCUUCAGUUCAUUGGCAGAGAUAUUGGAAUAGUGUUGGCUUACGAUGUAGUAUUCUUCCUCUGCUGUGCUCCGCUUGUUGGAUAUAAUUGGCUCUACAGGUAAGGUUAUAGUGACCUGAAUACAUUUGGAAGAUCACUACCUGUUACUGAUACGUAUGAUAGAUAAGACAAAGUGGCCUAUGACCAUCCGGGUAAGAAUUGAUACACCCAUGUUUGUCGUAAGACGCGAGGUCAGGUAAUCGGGCGGACUACAUCAUCAUCUACAACAACA